rnacentral:lncRNA from 1 species
UCUGACAAAUACAUUGUACAAAACUCAAUAGCUUCUUUUGUGAUGUACCAUUCAAUGAUCGAAGCUUCCAGACGGUAAUGACUAUUUGUAUACCCUUUGAAGAUAUUCAUGUAACGCUUUACGGGAUACAUCCAUCGUAAAUAAACUGGACCAUAAGUUCUAAUCUUCCUUACUAGAUGAAAAACUAAGUGAACCAUAAUGUCAAAGAAUGAUGACAGGAAAAACAUCUCUAACUGAAACAAGAUAAUUG